UACAGAGGGUGCAAACGUUGCUCGGAAUUAUUGGGCGUAAAGCGCACGUAGGCGGUUCGUUAAGUCAGAUGUGAAAGCCCCGGGCUCAACUCGGGAAGUGCAUUUGAAACUGGCGGGCUUGAAUAUGGAAGAGGGUCGCGGAAUUCCCGGUGUAGAGGUGAAAUUCGUAGAUAUCGGGAGGAACACCAGUGGCGAAGGCGGCGACCUGGGCCAAUAUUGACGCUGAGGUGCGAAAGCGUGGGGAGCAAACAGG
rnacentral:rRNA from 1 species